AUGGAUUCGGAAUUUGAAGGUGAUUCGGCUUCGGUUGAAAAUAUUCCUAAUCUGAAAGUCAUGACUGUUAAGCUUGGAAAGUAUAGGAAUGUUGGUGGUUAUGAUGAAGAGAAUCAAAUUCGCUAUUGUAUGGAUUCAUCUCAAGCUAGAGCACCUUUAUUUGCUAGAAGGACUUCGCUUUGGCUCACUGGAAAACAUAAUAAGAUUCAACGGCUUUGA